rnacentral:rRNA from 1 species
GAUGAACGCUGGCGGCGUGCCUAAUACAUGCAAGUCGAGCGAACAGACGAGGAGCUUGCUCCUCUGACGUUAGCGGCGGACGGGUGAGUAACACGUGGAUAACCUACCUAUAAGACUGGGAUAACUUCGGGAAACCGGAGCUAAUACCGGAUAAUAUAUUGAACCGCAUGGUUCAAUAGUGAAAGACGGUUUUGCUGUCACUUAUAGAUGGAUCCGCGCCGCAUUAGCUAGUUGGUAAGGUAACGGCUUACCAAGGCAACGAUGCGUAGCCGACCUGAGAGGGUGAUCGGCCACACUGGAACUGAGACACGGUCCAGACUCCUACGGGAGGCAGCAGUAGGGAAUCUUCCGCAAUGGGCGAAAGCCUGACGGAGUAACGCCGCGUGAGCGAUGAAGGUCUUCGGAUCGUAAAACUCUGUUAUUAGGGAAGAACAAAUGUGUAAGUAACUAUGCACGUCUUGACGGUACCUAAUCAGAAAGCCACGGCUAACUACGUG